GCGGUAGCGGUGGGGGGCAGGUAGAAGGGCGUCCUUUUGAGAGUGGGACCACAGCUGCUCUUCGCUCUCUUUCAUUCUCUCAUUCCAAAAAUUUCCGUUGAGCAAGUAGCAUCAGUGCGUGUUCAAGGGGAAUUCGGAGUUCACAAGCGACGAUAUAUAGACGCCGCGCAGUUUUAGUGCAAGAUUACAUUCACAGUUUUACUCCGAGCAGAGGAUAUUUUUCAUUUUGCUGUUUUGAAGAUUUCGAGUCAACAAGCAACGCUAUUAUUCGUUUGGAGCGUUCUGUUGCCGAGGAGCGUGGCUUGUCAUGGAAUUUAUUGACGCUUAGCUGCCUCAGUACAAGGUUUCGGUUGGAUUUCAGCAGAAAUUUUUUACUUCUUUAUUAUCCAUUUUCAUCAUGGCUGGAGAUGAAAAUGCUUUGUGCCUGUUGUGUGACAAAGUUUUGAACGAUGGACGUGCAACACGGACGCUAUCCCAGGCUGCUCUGAACAGCUGCGUAGUUGCGAGCGGAAGGAGAAAGGAUUUGAAACACGUGGAGUUGAAAAAGUACAGAAGGUUGGAGGUUCACGAUUCCUGUGCCAAGAAUUAUACUUACGAACGAGAGAUUCGUAAGUACGUACGUGAAUUGGAAUCGAGAGAACAGAGAGAAGAUGGCCCAGCCACAAAUACACGUCAAUCGGGUGUUUCACUUGACUUCGAUUUCGAAAGUCUGUGUAUUUUUUGCGCAAAAGACGCGUCAGAUCAAUACAUUCAGACACAAAACAGAGAGAAGAAAGAGCGUAGGGA